ACGCGCUUCUCGGCGAGGCCGACGGCAGACGCAGCGACUACCGCACGUCCACGGGCGCGUUCCUCCCGAAGCUGUACGACGACGUCGUGACGCGCGUCGAGCGCAGGGUCGAAGCGUUCAGCCGCCUGCCGUUCGAGAACCAGGAGCAGCUCCAGGCGCGUUCUGUUAGUCUGUGCACUUUAUCUCCCGGCGUCUCUCUCCGCCCAUCACCCCACGCUCACGAUCCCCUCCCACGGCGCCUCACGACUCCGCUGCUUCUGACGCCGUGCCUUUGAACUCCACCCCGAUAUCGUCGCUUCGCAUGGACCCUCGACCCUCAGCUGCUGCGAUACGAGCUCGGACAGGAGUAUCGCGACCACGUCGACGGGUUCGCCACGGAGAACGGCGGCAAGCGCGUCGCGACGGUGCUGAUGUUCUUGGCCGAGCCGGAGGAGGGCGGCGAGACCGCGUUCCCGAACGGCGAGCCGAGCGAGGCGGUCGCGGCGCGGGUCGCGGC
rnacentral:lncRNA from 1 species